AGGGGAGCGGCAGACGGGGUGAGUAACGCGUGGGAACGUACCCUUAUCUUCGGGAAUAGCUCCCGGGAAACUGGAAUUAAUACCGAAUGUGCCCUUUGGGGGGAAAGAUUUAUCGGAUAAGGAUCGGCCCGCGUUGGAUUAGCUAGUUGGUGGGGUAAAGGCCUACCAAGGCGACGAUCCCAUAGCUGGUCUGAGAGGAUGAUCAGCCACAUUGGGACUGAGACACGGCCCAAACUCCUACGGGAGGCAGCAGUGGGGAAUAUUGGACAAUGGGCGCAAGCCUGAUCCAGCCAUGCCGCGUGAGUGAUGAAGGCCCUAGGGUUGUAAAGCUCUUUCAGUAGGGAAGAUAAUGACGGUACCUACAGAAGAAGCCCCGGCUAACUUCGUGCCAGCAGCCGCGGUAAUACGAAGGGGGCUAGCGUUGUUCGGAAUUACUGGGCGUAAAGCGCACGUAGGCGGACAUUUAAGUCAGGGGUGAAAUCCCGGGGCUCAACCUCGGAACUGCCUUUGAUACUGGGUGUCUUGAGUGUGGAAGAGGUCAGUGGAAUUGCGAGUGUAGAGGUGAAAUUCGUAGAUAUUCGCAGGAACACCAGUGGCGAAGGCGGCUGACUGGUCCACAA
rnacentral:rRNA from 1 species